CUAUACUAUACUAUCUAUAGUAAUAGGACUCUGGUAUUAUAAUCUUAUUUUUAAUUUUAAAACAUUAAAAUCAACGAUGCAUACUGUUAAAACUAAUUUAGGAUAUAUGAAGUUUUUAAAAAUAAAAUUUUAUAUUUUUUUCGAUAUAGUUUACUUUAUGAUCAAUUCAUUUUAAAAAUGUCAAUUUUCAAUGGCUAGUAUUGCAAGUUUGCAGCUUAAUGAUGUAAAAGAAUCUAAAUUUAUUUAAAUUUGGAUAAAAAAAAUAUUUUAAAUUAUCUAGAUCAAUAUCAACAUCUUUCAUCUUGAAUUUAAAAGUUAUAUUCUCAAAUUUAAAAGACCGUUCAAUUUCAACUGUUCAUUUUGAUAUGAUUUACUUACUAAGUAAAUGAUGUCGAAAAAAAUCAAAAUUUUAUUUCUAAAAACUUUAUAUAUUCUAAAUCAUAUUUAACGAUGUGGAUCAUUGAUUUGAAUAUUCUAAGAGUGAAUACAAAACUAUAGUAUCUUAAAAUAUUUGGUAUUAGGAAAUGUUUCUCCAAUUU
rnacentral:lncRNA from 1 species